GGCUGGUCCACAUGCAGUGGUGUGCACAACUAAUUGAUUGAUUUAGCUGUAAUACUAAUUCCCUGUUCCUUCUCUACUCCCACUGUUUCACUUGACUAACUUUUA
ensembl:misc_RNA Y_RNA Y RNA